rnacentral:rRNA from 1 species
GAUGAACGCUAGCGGCAGGCUUAACACAUGCAAGUCGAGGGGUAUGGUUCUUCGGAGCCAGAGACCGGCGCACGGGUGCGUAACGCGUAUGCAAUCUACCUUUUACAGAGGGAUAGCCCAGAGAAAUUUGGAUUAAUACCUUAUAGCAUACCGAGACGGCAUCGUCAUGGUAUUAAAGAUUUAUCGGUGGAAGAUGAGCA